GUUGUUGAGGGCUCACAGCAUCUGAUAGUGGAUUGAUGGAUACAAGUCUUUAGGUUUUGCAAAUCAAAUCAAAAUGUGUAGACCUUACAGUGAAAUGCUUUACUUACAAACCUUUAACCAACAAUGCAGUUUUCAGAAAAUACACACAAAAAAAGUAAGCGAUAAGAAUAACAACUAAUUAAAGAGCAGCAGUAAAUAACAGUAUGGAGGCUAUAUACAGGGGGUACCGGUACAGAGUCAAUGUGGAGGCUAUAUACAGGGGGUACCGGUACAGAGUCAAUGUGGAGGCUAUAUACAGGGGGUACCGGUACAGAGUCAAUGUGGAGGCUAUAUACAGGGGGUACCGGUACAGAGUCAAUGUGGAGG
ensembl:lncRNA